ACAGAGGUGGCAAGCGUUGUUCGGAUUUAUUGGGUGUAAAGGGCAGGUAGGUUGCUUUGCAAGUCCGGUGUGAAAUCCCACGGCUCAACCGUGGAACUGCAUUGGAAACUGCUUAGCUUGAGUAUCGGAGAGGUGAGGGGAAUUCUCGGUGUAAGGGUGAAAUCUGUAGAUAUCGAGAGGAACACCAGUGGCGAAGGCGCCUCACUGGCCGAUUACUGACACUGAGCUGCGAAAGCAAGGGGAGCAAACAG
rnacentral:rRNA from 1 species